GCCCAGGUGGCGGAAUUGGUAGACGCGUUGGUCUCAAACACCAAUGAUUUCAGGAUCGUGCCGGUUCGACCCCGGCCCUGGGUACAA
rnacentral:tRNA from 1 species